rnacentral:sRNA from 1 species
GGGGAAGGAUGAGAAGCUUCGACCAAGGUUCGACUCGAGCGAAGCGAGAGAACGUUGCCGCAGGCAAUGGCCCGAAGGGCGAGGCGCUUUAGCGCCGAGUAAUCCUUCCCCCACCACUU